rnacentral:rRNA from 1 species
AUUGAACGCUGGCGGCAUGCCUUACACAUGCAAGUCGAACGGUAACGCGGGGCAACCUGGCGACGAGUGGCGAACGGGUGAGUAACGCAUCGGAACGUGCCCAAUAGUGGGGGAUAGCCCGGCGAAAGCCGGAUUAAUACCGCAUACGACCUACGGGUGAAAGCAGGGGAUCGCAAGACCUUGCGCUAAUGGAGCGGCCGAUGUCAGAUUAGGUUGUUGGUGGGGUAAAAGCCCACCAAGCCGACGAUCUGUAGCUGGUCUGAGAGGACGACCAGCCAAACUGGGACUGAGACACGGCCCAGACUCCUACGGGAGGCAGCAGUGGGGAAUUUUGGACAAUGGGCGCAAGCCUGAUCCAGCCAUGCCGCGUGCGGGAUGAAGGCCUUCGGGUUGUAAACCGCUUUUGUUAGGGAAGAAAUCUUUUGAGCUAAUACCUCGGAAGGAUGACGGUACCUAAAGAAUAAGCACCGGCUAACUACGUGCCAGCAGCCGCCGUAAAAC